GCUGGGUAUGGUAGCUCAUGCCUGUAAUCCUAGCACCUUGGAAGGCUGAGACAGGAGGAUCCCUUGAGCCCAGGAGAUCGAGAUCAGCCUGGGCAACAAAGGGAGACCCUGUCUCUA
rnacentral:SRP_RNA from 1 species